rnacentral:rRNA from 1 species
GAAACUGGGUCUAAUACCGGAUAGGACCAUGCUUUAGUGUGUGUGGUGGAAAGUUUUUUCGGUGUAGGAUGAGCCCGCGGCCUAUCAGCUUGUUGGUGGGGUAAUGGCCUACCAAGGCGGCGACGGGUAGCCGGACUGAGAGGUUGGUCGGCCACAUUGGGACUGAGAUACGGCCCAG